rnacentral:rRNA from 1 species
UAGAUACCCUGGUAGUCCGCGCCGUAAACGAUGGAUACCCGCGGUGCGUCUGUAGAGGUGUGCCGCCAAGCGAAAGCGUUAAGUAUCCCACCUGGGGAGUACGCCGGCAACGGUGAAACUCAAAGGAAUUGACGGGGGCCCGCACAAGCGGAGGAACAUGUGGUUUAAUUCGAUGAUACGCGAGGAACCUUACCCGGGCUCGAACCUGGAAGGGCGCCCUUUGGAGACAGGGGGUUUCCGCAAGGACUUU